UGGUAGAUGCACCUUGAUCUUUAACUCCCCUGUUUGGCUAAUACACUCUGGGGAGUUUUUCU
rfam:Hapalosiphon sp. MRB220 contig_162, whole genome shotgun sequence.